AAAUCAUUCAUUUACUUUUUCUCAAAAUUAAAAUGUCAUCAUCCUCUUUGAUUCGAGAGAUUCAGGUUGAGUAACAACGUAGAAAGCCACAUGCGAUAAAUUUUUUACAGUCAAGUAUGAUCAUUUCAAAAUUUAGAAUCGCUCCCACCUAAUUUUAUCAUCAAAAUAGCUUGAGGUUGCAUGCAAAAUCGAUCAUUUUUUUAUUUUAAUGCUACUAUACCCCAUCGUCUUCUCUGUCUCGUAGGCACCAGAAGAGUCUUUCAUCUCCGUCACCAAGAGCCACUUACGGCGGAUCUACUCCCGUCGAGUUUUGUGGUAAGUGGUAACACAGAUGAGUCAUUAAUAAGAGAAAGACCAUCAUGUUUUCAGUUUUGUUUUUCUUUUAUUGUUUUAAUCAAUUGUUAUUUAUUACAGUAUUUUGGUUUUAGGUGACAGUUGCUUUCAAGAUUAGUCCGUAACCAAGCUACCAAGUACCAACUUACAUGUAAAUGUCCGUAACCUAGUCUAUAAAUCCAGACGAAUUGAUCACAAGAUUGAUGUAACAAAGUUGAUCAACGGUUUCAAAGAACCAAUUUGAAACCUGUGUAGUCU
rnacentral:lncRNA from 1 species